GGGAAUAUACCCAAAGGUACGGAAUAGCCUCUGGAAACGACGAGUAAUCCUGUAUGUUCCCUUCGGGGGAAAGAUUUAUCGCCUUUGGAUUAGCCCGCGUUAGAUUAGGUAGUUGGUGGGGUAAUGGCCUACCAGAGCCUACGAUCUAUAGCUGGUUUUAGAGGAUGAUCAGCAACACCGGGAGGGAGACACGGCCCAGAAUCCUACGGGAGGCAGCAGUGGGGAAUGCAGGCCAAUGGGGGCAACCCUGAUCCAGCCAUGCCGGUAUGAGUGAUGAAGGCCUUAGGGUCGUAAAGCUCUUUCGCCUGUGAAGAUAAUGACGGUAGCAGGUAAAGAAACCCCGGCUAACUCCGUGCCAGCAGCCGCGGUAAUACGGAGGGGGUGAGCGUUGUUCGGAAUUACUGGGCGUAAAGCGCAUGUAGGCGGAUCGGAAAGUUGGGGGUGAAAUCCCGGGGCUCAACCCCGGAACUGCCUCCAAAACGAUCGGUCUAGAGUUCGAGAGAGGUGAGUGGAAUUCCGAGUGUAGAGGUGAAAUUCGUAGAUAUUCGGAGGAACACCAGUGGCGAAGGCGGCUCACUGGCUCGAUACUGACGUUGAGGUGCGAAAGUGUGGGGAGCAAACAGGAUUAGAUACCCUGGUAGUCCACACCGUAAACGAUGAAUACCAGUCGUCGGGUCGCAUACUAUUCGGUGACACACCUAACGCAUUAAGCAUUCCGCCUGGGAGU
rnacentral:rRNA from 1 species